UACGUAGGGACCAAGCGUUGUUCGGAUUCAUUGGGCGUAAAGGGUGCGUAGGCGGCGCGGUAAGUCGGGUGUGAAAUCUCUGAGCUUAACUCAGAACGGCCAAGUGAUACUGCAGUGCUAGAGUGUGGAAGGGGCAAUCGGAAUUCUUGGUGUAGCGGUGAAAUGCGUAGAUAUCAAGAGGAACACCUGAGGUGAAGACGGGUUGCUGGGCCAACACUGACGCUGAUGCGCGAAAGCCAGGGGAGCAAACGGG
rnacentral:rRNA from 1 species